AGGGAAAGAUGAGGGUUAGGGAGACCAAUUAAGAGACUGCUGUACCCAAGAAGGAAAACUAAGUCUUCUAUCUUAAUAUCCUUUGCUCUUUUGAAUGUCAUUGCAGUAAGAAAACAGGAAAGAUGGAAUGGGGAAGUAAACUAAAAACAAUUCUUGCUUUCUUUAAGUCAUCUUCAACCCUUUUCAGACAGAUCAGAGAUUGUUAGAGUGAGAAGUGACCUUAAGAGAACCAGCCUUUGGAUUGGAUAGAGAAGCUGCAUGUUUUGCUCAUGUUCUAUUAAAUGGCAGAGUCAGAACUAAAUCUCAGAUCUAACCUGGCACCCAGUGCCCUCCACUGCAUCGUCCUGAAAUAAAGAGCCUAGAAUGAAGGCGGAGCCACAGCAGGCUGAGAGGCCUGGAAUCCCGAGCAGACCAUCCUGAAAAGAGAAGCUCCAACAGACCCCAGGGUCCCAGCAACCUGGGCCAGAGGCUGCACUUCUCUCAACUGAAAAGGACACCUGAGGAAUUGAUCCUUGAUUGAAUCUUCCUGUUAAAGAGACUUCCGGAGCGGGGCAUCUCCGAACUGAGAUGGUCUGCAUUCACCAACUCUUCUCUUCUGCGACCACAUGCAUCCCAAGAAUGCCUCCUCAUGAACACUCAUUGAUGACUGAUUGGUACAAACUACUGUGGGGAAAAGCGAGAUGUCAUGUUGAAAUUACACAUUCCUGAAAAGGUAUGUAGAGUAGAGCCAGCAUAUAGUCCUUUUUACUAUUUAUUAAAUUAUAAAGGA
rnacentral:lncRNA from 1 species